UUUCAAAUAUUUUUGGUCCUAAAUUUGUUUUAAAAUUUGUUAAAUGGUUUUUGUUUAAAUUGUUAUCAGUGAUUUGAAGAAAACCCAUCUGUAAUUUAGUUUGUUUUCAUAUUUUGGGUAUGGAAAACAACUAAAUAUUGAGAAGACCCUCUACAUCUGAUUCGAUAAAAAUAGAAACUGUGAACGCAUUGCUCUCUAUUUGUUCUCGCAUCUAUUAUUUCCAGAUAUUUUUUUGUUCAAUUGCCAAUCAUCUUGACCUAACCCAAAGCGAUCUGGAGUAAUUAUGAGCCAACGACUGUUUAUUAAAAUCACUCAGAUCCAAGCAAAAAUGGAGGUGUGUGAACUUUGUCACAAGGCCUUUUGUGUAGAUAAACUAACUGAACAUAAGCUGAAUUGUUCCAAAUUGUCUGUUGAAUCCAAAGACGGGUUUGUCCCAUUAACCCGUUUUACUGCUAGCGAAAGUUUUCAAUAUGUUCCUAGCCAAUCGUCUGUUCGAGUAAAACUUCUGGUCAGAAUCAGUAGGAGUAAAUCUGAGAUUAGCUUAAGGCGUAGAAAUGAUGAAAUGCUAAACAAAGAUGACUGCACCCAAAAGCUACAGGAGAAAAGGCAAAAUUAAGCAGGACAUUGUAGUAUGCUAAAGUUUUCUUGGAUGUUAAUUUGAAAGGAAUUAAUGAAAAUUUUCCGCCAAAGUCUAUGCCGUCAUGACGGUUUACUUGUCCGUCUUACACCAACUUGUUGCAAUGGAAAGAUAUUGGGGUCUCUGAAAUAAACGAUCAAUGUUUAAAAAUUCAAAAUAAUAAUUUUAAAUUCAUGUCAAAAAUUUACUAUCAAUAUAAAUUACUAUGAGAACACA